AAGUAGGAAGUUUAUGACGGUGGCAAUUUCUCAAAAAAAGGGGGACUGCCAAUGUUUUUGCUUGUUUGCUCUUUCCCUAGAAAGGAAUAGUAGUGACUGUCUUUGAAGCAUUGAUGCUUGCGAUUGCUUUCGCAACAUUAAUUGUCAAAAUCAGUAAUAAAAACGACAAAAAAUAAACCCGUCAUAACUUUUAGCGAAGAUUGACGGGUUUAUUAACCAAUAAAUUAAAGCUACCGUCUUAAACGGUCUACCCGAGAGCGUAUGUCUAGUACGCUCUCUUCGUGUUU
rnacentral:sRNA from 1 species